rnacentral:rRNA from 1 species
CCUACGGGUGGCAGCAGUAGGGAAUCUUCCACAAUGGGCGCAAGCCUGAUGGAGCAACACCGCGUGAGUGAAGAAGGUUUUCGGCUCGUAAAGCCCUGUUGUUGGGGAAGAACGUGCGUGAGCGUAACUGUUCACGCAUUGACGGUAUCCAACCAGACAGUCACGCCUAACUACGUGCCCGCAGCUGCGGUGAUGCGGAGGUGGCAAGCGUUAUCCGGAUUGGUUGGGCGGAAAGGGAGCGCAGGCGGUUGCUUAGGUCUGAUGUGAAAGCCUUCGGCUUAACCGCAGGAUUGCAUUGGAAACCGGGCGACUCGAGUGCAGGAGAGGAAAGUGGAACGCCAGGUGUAGCGGUGGAAUGCGUAGAUAUAUGGAAGAACACCAGUGGCGAAGGCGGCUGGCUGGUCUGCAACUGACGCUGAGGCUCGAAAGCGUGGGUAGCGAACAGGAUUAGAUACCCCGGUAGUC